rnacentral:tRNA from 1 species
UCCGGUGUCGUCUAAAGGUAGGACAAGGGACUUUGAAUCCCUGAAUCAUGGUUCGAAUCCAUGCGCCGGAACCA